CAAUAGCGUAUAUUAAAGUUGUUGCGGUUAAAAAGCUCGUAGUUGGAGUUCUGCCAGGUGCCGCCUGUCCGCCCCAGUGGUGAGUACGUGGCGCGCAUUUGGUCCUUUCAAGGGGAGCGUAUCUGCACUUUAUUGUGUGGUGCGGGAUCCUUGACUUUUACUUUGAGGAAAUAGGAGUGUUCCAAGCAGGCUCUCGUCGUGCACAGCUCAGCAUGGAAUAAUAGCAUUGGACCUCGAUUCUAAGCUGUUGGUUGCCAGAAGCGAGGUAAUGAUGAAGAGGGAUAGUUGGGGGCAUUCGUAUUUAACUGUCAGAGGCGAAAUUCUUGGAUUUGUUAAAGACGGACUACUGCGAAAGCAUCUGCCAUGGAUGUUUUCAUUGA
rnacentral:rRNA from 1 species